rnacentral:rRNA from 1 species
GACAGAGGGUGCAAACGUUGUUCGGAAUUACUGGGCGUAAAGCGCGUGUAGGCGGCCCUGCAAGUCGGAUGCGAAAUCCCACGGCUCAACCGUGGAAGUGCAUUCGAAACUGCAGGGCUAGAGUCCUGGAGAGGAAGGUGGAAUGCUUGGUGUAGAGGUGAAAUUCGUAGAUAUCAAGCGGAACACCGGUGGCGAAGGCGGCCUUCUGGACAGUGACUGACGCUGAGACGCGAAAGCGUGGGGAGCAAACAGG